GACGAACGCUGGCGGCGUGCUUAACACAUGCAAGUCGAACGAUAAAGCACCAGCUUGCUGGUGUGGAUUAGUGGCGAACGGGUGAGUAACACGUGAGUAACCUGCCCCUCACUCUGGGAUAAGCCUGGGAAACUGGGUCUAAUACUGGAUACGACCUAUCUCCGCAUGGUGUGUGUGUGGAAAUUUUUUGUGGUGGGGGAUGGACUCGCGGCCUAUCAGCUUGUUGGUGGGGUAUUGGCCUACCAAGGCGACGACGGGUAGCCGGCCUGAGAGGGUGACCGGCCACACUGGGACUGAGAUACGGCCCAGACUCCUACGGGAGGCAGCAGUGGGGAAUAUUGCACAAUGGGCGAAAGCCUGAUGCAGCGACGCCGCGUGAGGGAUGACGGCCUUCGGGUUGUAAACCGCUUUCGCCUGUGACGAAGCGUGAGUGACGGUAAUGGGUAAAGAAGCACCGGCUAACUACGUG
rnacentral:rRNA from 1 species